AAAGGAAUUGACGGGCACCCGCACAAGCAGUGGAGCAUGCUGUUUAAUUCGAAGAUACGCGAAGAACCUUACCAGGGCUUGACAUCCCACUGACCGAUUUAGAAAUAAGUCUUUCCCUUCGGGGACAGUGGUGACAGGUGGUGCAUGGUUGUCGUCAGCUCGUGUCGUGAGAUGUUCGGUUAAGUCCGAUAACGAGCGCAACCCCUUUCUUUAAUUGCUAACAUUUAGUUGAGAACCUUAAAGAUACUGCCGGUGACAAACCGGAGGAAGGUGGGGAUGACGUCAAAUCAUCAUGCCCCUUACGUCCUGGGCUACAGGCGUGCUAUAAUGGCAGAUAUAAAAAGUUGCAAUACCGUGAGGUGGAGCUAAUCUCCAAAGUCUGUCUCAGUUCGGAUUGAAGUCUGCAACUCGACUUCAUGAAGCUAGAAUUGCUAGUAAUCGUGAAUCAGAAUGUCACGGUGAAUACGUUCCCGGGUGUUGUACACACCGCCCGU
rnacentral:rRNA from 1 species